GGAAUUUUCAGAAUUACCGGACAGAUCAGAGUCUUUCACCGACGGAGGGAAAAGAAAAUGAAGAACACAUCGGAACGAAGCAAAACCGGCUACGAUUUUUGGCUCUCAUUCUGCAAUUGUUCAGUCUAAUUGGAAUUAUUUUGCAAUUUUUUGCAAAUGACAUUAUUUUUUUGUUAAACUUACAGAUGAUCCAUUCCUUCCGGCACUUCUCCGUCGCUGCUGCAUCGCAAAGUCUCCGCCGUCCUAUGCGGGUAGUUCAGACAGCCAUUGAUUCUCCAGCAUUUGGUGUAUUCUUCAUAUUAAUGGUGUAGUCAUUGUUAUUUUAACUUGAUAUAUUUGGAGUAGUUCUUUUUCUGCUAAUUCACCGUGUAUUUGAAUUUCCCGCUGUGAAGCUUUAUAUGGAUUCUUUUGGCUCUUUGGUUUAGCGGUUUCGAAUCAUUGGAGUUGCACCUGAAGAAAUUGAUGCACUGCCCAUUCUACAUGUCAAUUGACAAGUUUAAAGGAAUGUUAAUGUAAGCCAAAACGACUAUGAAGCUUGGAAUGGUAAUGCUCAAAUGAUGCAAUUGCUUAGGACACGAUGGUGAUAGUGAGAAGAGGAUGAAGGAAGGUUUAGUUUGAAAUAGAUGUCUAAGUGAAGGUAGGAAUUAAAACGGUCACAAUCAGGAUGAGAACAAAUGACAUAUGAAGCAUAAACUUGAAGCGAUUACCUCAUUUCAAUGGGGGAUGAAGAAAAGGAUUGUGAAGCCACUGGAGAUUAUUUAAUGAAGAGGAUGAUCUCGAUGAUUAUUAUACAGGGAGAAGGGGGAGGAGCUUUUCUCCACCUGGAAAGGUGAGAAUAGUUUCCUCCCUUUCUCUCCCUUCCCAUCUCCUACGUUGUAGGAUAUAUGAAUAGUAGAAGCAUGCUUUGGAGCUGUUCAUGAGGCUGAUUGUAGUCAGGGCAGAAGGAAUGGACUCAGUUAAUAAAAUACAAUUUGAUGAAAGCUUCUUUUAUUUGUCCAUACAACACUCCUUCUUUCCAUCAAGCACAAACCCUGAAUGAGAAAUCAUGCUGUACCGCCUAUACAGAUUAUACAAGUUGCUUCUAUCAUAUUAAUAUUUCGAAAUGGUGGCUUCUAUUCUAUUGUCAAACUCGAGUGAGGAUGGCAACAUUUUUGUAGAGAAAAGACCUUCUCUACAGUGUUUUCGGUGCUUCAGGUAGGACACUGAGAAACAGAGGAACGAGGGAACAUGAUGAUAGGGGGAUCCCAAGCAUAGGAAAAUGAAACUGAAGAACCAGGCUGUACAGUUCCUCCGUUUAUAAGAAGGCAAGUGUCCCUUUGCUUUGACAGAAUCGAUGGAUCAACGGGUUCAAUAGUCUGAAACCCUGGGCAGGACAAGACGAUCUGCUUCUGAGGACAAUUGCAGUUGUUGAUCACUUGAACGUUCCAUUCAGCUUCCAGCAGCAGACCCUGCAACAAAAUACCAACAACUCAAACUGAGAAAGGGAAGAGAAAGCUCUAAAGGAUGAAGAUUGCUGCAAUCAUGGUGUAGAGGUUGAUCAUAGCUGAAGGGAAAUUUUUGCUGCCAGGCAGUGCUUUUGAGAUAAGUGGGUUUAGAAACCAAAUUCUCUGUUUUUAUUAUGCUUACUUUAUCUUAGAAA